rnacentral:lncRNA from 1 species
UGAAUUUUAACACUAGAGAGUUUGUUAGAUAGUAGAACAAGUAAGAGACGGAGACCAACAAGUAUUGAGAUGAUGUGCGAUUCGUCACUCUUCUUUAUUUAAUGGAUUUGAGAUUUGAGGUUCGAUCAUUUUAAAUAGAGCAAAUACUUGUUGCGACACUUUUAUCUCCCGUGUGAGUAUAAUUUAUUCUCGAGAUCGAAAAUAUUUGUUGAUAUAAAAAAAAAAAGAAAGGAAAAGAGAUAGAAAUUGUUCUUGAAUCUUGAUCUUUUUACCUGAGUUAGAAAAUGGACUGAAGGUGGGUUUUCUUCAUGAGCUGAUUUCAGGCUUCCUGCAAACCAGGUAAACUUGGUAAAUUCCGAGACAUAACCACAAAAUAAAUAUGCACAUUAAGAACCCAGUUGGAGACUCACUAGUUGCAGGGACUGCAAUAGAAGAAAGCACAAGAGAGAGAACCAGAAGCAGUCUAAUAGGAAGAAGACACUUUGCCACCAUUGUUGAGUAUUUGAUCAAAGAAGACAAAUGUAUAGAGAUAUAGAGGAGAGAUGAUAUGAGAUGUGAUGCCUACACAUAGUUUUCUGGGUGCUGGUUUAUAUAGAGCUUGGCUUACCACUCUUUGAGUUUUUUUGUUUUUUUUUUUUUUUUUUUUCUGAUGAAAAUAUGCAAAAGAAUAGAAAGCAAUGCUCCCCACAAAGUCAGCUUCUUUAUUAUUAUCCUUUUU